rnacentral:rRNA from 1 species
GAUGAACGCUGGCGGCGUGCCUAACACAUGCAAGUCGAGCGGAAAUAUUGGAAGUACUUGUACGGAAGAUAUUUUAGCGGCGGACGGGUGAGUAACACGUGAGUAACCUGCCUUCGGCAGUGGAAUAACAUUGUGAAAACAGUGCUAAUACCGCAUAACGUCAUAGACCGGCAUCGGUUGAUGACCAAAGGAGAAAUCCGGCAGAAGAUGGACUCGCGUCCGAUUAGCUAGUUGGCGGGGUAAAGGCCCACCAAGGCGACGAUCGGUAGCCGAACUGAGAGGUUGAUCGGCCACAUUGGGACUGAGACACGGCCCAGACUCCUACGGGAGGCAG